rnacentral:lncRNA from 1 species
AAAACAUACAAUCUUCCUAGUGUUUAACUAUCUCUCUACCAGUUGCCAGUCAGUUUCCUUCCUUGAUUUUCCCUGAUGUUUAGCUAUUAAAUAGGUUAAUCUAUCCAUAUUUUUUAUUUCUGAUAUUUUAAUUAACCAUUCUUCUUUAGUGGGGAUUUCUUUUUGCCUCCAAUAUCUAGUGUAUGUAAUUCUGGCCGCUGUUGUAAGUAAGUCAUCGUUUUUUUCUUCGUUUAGGUUUAGGGAGACUUCAAAAAUUCCCAAUAAGUAAGUUUCUGGUAUUUUUGUAAAUUUUAUAUCUAUAAUUGUCUGUACACAUUCAUGAAUUAUUGACCAAAAUUCUUUUGCUUUUUUGCAUCCCCACCAAAUAUGGUGAUAGGUGCCUUCUUCUUCUCCACAUUUCCAACAUUUAUAAUUAUUGCUUUUAUUUAUAAUUGCUAAUUUUUUUGGGGGGGGGGAGGGUUAUGUGCCACCUAUGAAACAUUUUCAUCCAAUUUUCUUUUAGUUGGUAGGCGUAUGUAAAUUUGAGUUUCCUGCCCCAACAGGAUUCCCAUUCCUCCAUUUGGAUUGGCCUCCCUAUAUCUUUAGACAAUUUAAUCAUGCAGUUUUUAACUACAGUAGAGUCUCACUUAUCCAAGCUAAAUGGGCUGGCAGAAGCUUGGAUAAGCGAAUAUCUUGGAUAAUAAGGAGGGAUUAAGGAAAAGCCUAUUAAACAUCAAACUGGGUUAUGAUUUUACAAAUUAAGCACCAAAACGUCAUGUUAUACAACAAAUUUGUCAGAAAAGGUAGUUCAAUACGCAGUAAUGUUAUGUUGUAAUUACUGUAUUUAUUUAUUUAUUUAUUUAUUUAUUUGCUACAUUUAUAUGCCGCCCUUCUCACCCCGAAGGGGACUCAGAGCGGCUUACAAAUUAAAUUUACAUACAAUAUUAUAUUAGUAUAGUACAAUACUGGUAACAAAUUACUAUAUUGUACUGUAUCAACAUAUUGUAAUAUUAUUAGUAAUAUUACAUGUAAAAUAUGAUAUAUAAUUAAUAUUAUUAUAUUGUAUUAUUAGUAUUAUAUCGUAUUGCAA